rnacentral:rRNA from 1 species
AGUGAACGCUGGCGGUAGGCCUAACACAUGCAAGUCGAACGGCAGCACAGUAAGAGCUUGCUCUUACGGGUGGCGAGUGGCGGACGGGUGAGGAAUACAUCGGAAUCUACUUUUUCGUGGGGGAUAACGUAGGGAAACUUACGCUAAUACCGCAUACGACCUACGGGUGAAAGCAGGGGAUCUUCGGACCUUGCGCGAUUGAAUGAGCCGAUGUCGGAUUAGCUAGUUGGCGGGGUAAAGGCCCACCAAGGCGACGAUCCGUAGCUGGUCUGAGAGGAGGGUCAGCCACACUGGAACUGAGACACGGUCCAGACUCCUACGGGAGGCAGCAGUGGGGAAUAUUGGACAAUGGGCGCAAGCCUGGUCCAGCCAUACCGCGUGGGUGAAGAAGGCCUUCGGGUUGUAAAGCCCUUUUGUUGGGAAAGAAAAGCAGCAGGUUAAUACCCCGCUGUUCUGACGGUACCCAAAGAAUAAGCACCGGCUAACUUCGUG